rnacentral:rRNA from 1 species
AUGACACUGCGCUGCCAGCACCACCAGGUAAAUGUUGAGCUUGCUUUUUGGUUGGUAAAUGUUGAGUUUGCUUUUUGGUUAUUGGGACACUCUUGCUCACUGUUGGUCUUUGUCUUUAGUUCUUUGACCGGGGACGAUGACGUGCCGAAGGUGAUUCCUCCUUCAGCCACCAACGCAUCCUCGGGGGAUGUUGUGGAGGUUCCGGCAGCCCCCGAUCCUGGAAAGGCUCGUGUUUUACGGGACCAUGCCAGUGGUCCUGUUGGAGGGCCGGACCCGAGCUUUUCCUUCCGCCAUGACCGGCUCAAGAGGAUGGACCGCCAAGGACAACCCAUCUCGCCCCUGUCGCCCGCCGAAGAAGGUGGAGCGGGUGCUGACGAAAAGGACGACCGGUGA